rnacentral:rRNA from 1 species
GACGUAGGGCGCGAGCGUUGUCCGGAUUUAUUGGGCGUAAAGAGCUCGUAGGCGGCUUGUUGCGUCGACCGUGAAAACCCGGGGCUCAACUUCGGGCUUGCGGUCGAUACGGGCGGGCUAGAGUUCGGUAGGGGAGACUGGAAUUCCCGGUGUAGUGGUGAAAUGCGUAGAUAUCGGGAGGAACACCAGUGGCGAAGGCGACUUCCUGGCCUGUUCUUGACGCUGAGGCGCGAAAGCUAGGGGAGCAAGCGGG